UAUGAACCACACUGUAGACAUCUAUCAUGGAUUGAGCAGAGAUGAUUUAACCAAUCAUAAUUUGAUGGAAAACUGUUUAAAGAGGUAGCAUACAUUCAUACAUGUACCAGUAACCUUUGGAGAUAAGGCAGUCAGAUAGGCUAAAGUAUAACACUCAGCAUCCUUCAGUCUACUUGAUGGUUUUUCUUAGGGGUCUCCAGUGAAGACUCUCCACAGUUCUUUAGGAUUUUGAGUUUGGAAGACUCCAAAAAUGGAAAGCUGAUGGCAGCACUGGAAAAUAAGACAGGACAGAGGUUUAAUGAUGGGGUCUGAUAUUCUAAGGAGGUGUUGCUUGUAGAAGCUAGGAUCAUUGCUUCCAUUGUCGAUAACACACAGAAAGAGGUUUAUGUGAUCAGGUUAUGGUUCUCAACGACCCAGACACUUUCUAGACCUUGUGCAAAGUUGUAACUAUCUUAUUUGUGCAAUAUACAUAAUUUUCAUGUAAACCAAGGACAUUGUCAUAUCCUUUUAGGAGAUUGGAGACAGCCCUUCAGUGAGGGAUGGACUUUAUUAAUAUAAAUGAUGUGAUACUCUAACUCACUAAUUGUAUUAUAAAAGAUGUGCACACUAAGUAUCAAUAGCUUUUACCAUCUCGGCUCUGAGACCUAUGAAAUGAUUAUGGUUCAUAAUCAUAAUAUAAUUAUAAUCAUAAUCAUAUGAUUAUGGUGAUAAUGAUUAUGUGAGUUUUCACCAUCUUGGCUCCAAGUAGCUGCAGAACUGUAGCUCUCCGAAAAAAAAAUUGACAGACCGGAGAGCUACAGUGCCAUCCAUUGAAAAAACUGUAUAUUUAUUGCGCACAAAAAGUUGCGCUCUUCUGGAUUUAUUUCUCCAAAUUCUUAACCUCAACUGCACAAAAGCUCAAUUUCAAAAAGAAUCCUUAGACCUCUAUCAACUACUCUUGUAGUUGACAUCUUUACGAAGCGAAUUUGGCUGAAAUGUCUAUCCACAAAAAAUGGCAGUAUUUACAGGCGAAAUUUUGGAUGGUCUCAAUUUCAGGCAAAGGAGGGCUAUUAACAAUGGUUAUAGGAAAUGUUUUGAUGUGGGAAUAGUGACAAAAUGAGUUAGGAACACACGGUCAGUAAUAUUUUGAGACUGCAGUUUAAAAAUAUGGAGAAAUAAAUCGAGAAACAGCACACUUUUCUGUGCGCAAUAAAUAUACACUUUUUUUCAAUGGGUGGCACUGUAGCUCUCUGGUUGUCCAUCCCAAUUUUUUCAGACCAGCAAGCUACAGACCUGCAGCUAGGCUCCAAGACCUCAAGCCAAUGUACCAUUGUUUUACUCAAAUGUUUUUGUUGUGAUUUUUUUUUUAAUAAUAAAUCUUUAUAAACUUUCAA